UUUUUUUUCUUUUUUUUUUUUUGUCGUUUUCGCCGCGAUAUUCCGCGAUCGUUUAACUCGACAACGCCAUCGUUGUCGGUCUCUAGGCGUCCUACUCCCGAAGGCUGAGGCGUCUGUAACCGCUCGCGGCAGUGAUCUUCGCUCUCGUCCGCCGAACCCGCGGAAAACACUCACUCCGGGACGCGUAUUCUCUUCCGGGUCCGGUCCCGGCACCGGGAGCGGAACGGGGCGGCGGGAACGCGGGAAUGGAGAACGGAGCGAAACG